UACGGGGGGAGCAAGCGUUGUUCGGAUUUACUGGGCGUAAAGGGCGCGUAGGCGGCCACCGCAAGUCGGUUGUGAAAUCUCCGGGCUUAACCCGGAAAGGUCAAUCGAUACUGCGGGGCUAGAGUGCAGAAGGGGCAACUGGAAUCCUCGGUGUAGCGGUGAAAUGCGUAGAUAUCGAGAGGAACACCUGCGGCGAAGGCGGGUUGCUGGGCUGACACUGACGCUGAAGCGCGAAAGCUAGGGGAGCGAACGGG
rnacentral:rRNA from 1 species